GGAGAUUUAGCUCAGUGGUAGAGCACUUGCCUAGCAAGCACAAGGCCCUGGGUUCAGUCCCAAGCUCCG
rfam:Rattus norvegicus chromosome 10, whole genome shotgun sequence.